GACGAACGCUGGCGGCGUGCCUAAUACAUGCAAGUCGAGCGAAUGGAUUAAGAGCUUGCUCUUAUGAAGUUAGCGGCGGACGGGUGAGUAACACGUGGGUAACCUGCCCAUAAGACUGGGAUAACUCCGGGAAACCGGGGCUAAUACCGGAUAACAUUUUGAACCGCAUGGUUCGAAAUUGAAAGGCGGCUUCGGCUGUCACUUAUGGAUGGACCCGCGUCGCAUUAGCUAGUUGGUGAGGUAACGGCUCACCAAGGCAACGAUGCGUAGCCGACCUGAGAGGGUGAUCGGCCACACGGGGACUGAGACACGGCCCUGAGUCCAAGGGGAGGCAGCAGUAGGGAAUCUUCCGCAAUGGACGAAAGUCUGACGGAGCAACGCCGCGUGGGUGAUGAAGGCUUUCGGGUCGUAAAACUCUGUUGUUAGGGAAGAACAAGUGCUAGUUGAAUAAGCUGGCACCUUGACGGUACCUAACCAGAAAGCCACGGCUAACUACGUGCCAGCCGCCGCCGUAA
rnacentral:rRNA from 1 species